AUGAAUAUUGAUGAGUCCCCCGAACACGCCGCUCACCCGCUCGUCGCGGCUGCCCCGACACCCCGCCCUCCUCGCGCGCGUCCCUCUGUUGCCAUAAGCGACGGCGCAGGCGGCCUGGCCUCGCCCCGCCCCGGCGGCGCUACGGGGCCACACGAGGAACUAAAGGGCCCUGAGGCGGGGGCUUCCGGAAGUGACGACACGAGGAGCCGCCUUUGCACCGGAAAUGGCCCUGAUCUUCCUCUUCAGCUGCUGCUUCUUCCCCCUCUUCUUCCUCGCCCUGCGCUGGGCGCUGCGCCGCACCUGGGGCCCGGGCACGGACCAGCUGCAAGCCGUCUACGUGGCUGCCAAGCUGGUCUCCUCUGUCCAGGCCGUCAUGGCCUCCACCGCCGGAUACAUCGUGUUCAGCUCCUGCCAGCACGUUCUCGACGACCAGUGAGUGUGGCCCCCGGCCGGGCCCCCGUUCUCCCUCCCCCCAGCUGGGCCCCUGCUUUCUGCCCCCCAGCCAGGCC
rnacentral:lncRNA from 1 species